UCCUCUGUAGUUCAGUCGUUAUUUCGGCGGACUGUUUCUCCGUAUGUCACUUGUUCGAGUCCCGUCAGAGGAGCCA
rnacentral:tRNA from 1 species